CAGCUCUAGGCGGUGGAUCACU
rnacentral:rRNA from 1 species